rnacentral:rRNA from 1 species
GGUUAAGCGACUAAGCGUACACGGUGGAUGCCCUGGCAGUCAGAGGCGAUGAAGGACGUGCUAAUCUGCGAAAAGCGUCGGUAAGGUGAUAUGAACCGUUAUAACCGGCGAUGUCCGAAUGGGGAAACCCAGUGCAAUUCGUUGCACUAUCGUUAACUGAAUACAUAGGUUAACGAGGCGAACCGGGGGAACUGAAACAUCUAAGUAC